UAGUGGCGAGUGCGAGUUAAAUUUUAGUUAUUUUUUAAUCGUAAAAGAAAUUUGUGAGUAAAUUUUCUCGUACAAUGGAUUCCACUUUGCUACCGAUUUUGGCGAAGCAAGAAGAAAUCGGAAUGCUUUGCUACCAUCGGCGAGACCAUCGAAAAUCAACCGACUUCAUUAAACUCUGAUGAAGCAUUCAUCAAAUGUUUUCGUCUAAGUAAGGAAGAUUUUCGGUACGUUUCAGAGGAAAUUGAGAACUGUUUUACCACAAGAAAGGUGGUCUAUCCACGGAGGUGAAGCUGGCAGCAUGUUUGCGAUUCUUUGCUGAAGAAAACAUUGCCAUAGCACAACCCACAUUUUCCAAGGUGCUGGCUGAAAUGCUUAACGUUCUGGAGCGGACACUGUGUAUGAAAUGGAUUUCCCUAAAUAUGACGGAAGACGAACAGCGGUGUGCCAAACUACACUUUUAUCAGAAAUCAUCAAUUCCGGGUGUUAUUAUGUGUUUGGAUGGGACCCACGUGAAAAUUAUUCCACAUAAGCUGGAUCGAAAUUUGUUUGUGGCGAUCCGCCAAGGAUUCGUUUCGUCGAUCCUACCUUCCAGGGAUCUAAUCAUGACUCUCAUAUAUGGCCUGUAAGCCCUGCAAGAACUAACUUUGAGUAGCUUCACCAAAAUGGUGAAGUUAAUACUAAGAUUCUAGGUGAUGCUGGUUAUUCAUCGGAACCUUGGUUAGUAACGCCAUUCAGAGCAGCGGAGGAAGGGAGUUUGGAGAGCGAUUUUAAUCGCAAGCAUGUAUUGGGUCGUGCUAUCAUCGAAUCGGUGUACUGAAAAAUCGGUUUAGAUGCAUCCUUGGCGCGAGACAACUUCACUACAAUCCUACUAAAUGCGCUCAAAUUAUGAAUGUAUGCUGUGCACUUCACAAUAUAUGCUUAGAAUUUGGUUGCAUAAUAAA